rnacentral:rRNA from 1 species
GGGGAUAACACUUGGAAACAGGUGCUAAUACCGCAUAAUAGUCGACACCGCAUGGUGUUGAUUUGAAAGACGCUUUCGGGUGUCACUGAUGGAUGGACCCGCGGUGCAUUAGCUAGUUGGUGAGGUAACGGCUCACCAAGGCGAUGAUGCAUAGCCGACCUGAGAGGGUGAUCGGCCACACUGGGACUGAGACACGGCCCAGACUCCUACGGGAGGCAGCAGUAGGGAAUCUUCGGCAAUGGACGAAAGUCUGACCGAGCAACGCCGCGUGAGUGAAGAAGGUUUUCGGAUCGUAAAACUCUGUUGUUAGAGAAGAACAAGUAGGAGAGUAACUGCUCUUACCUUGACGGUAUCUAACCAGAAAGCCACGGCUAACUACGUGCCAGCAGCCGCGGUAAUACGUAKGUGGCAAGCGUUGUCCGGAUUUAUUGGGCGUAAAGCGAGCGCAGGCGGUUUCUUAAGUCUGAUGUGAAAGCCCCCGGCUCA